rnacentral:rRNA from 1 species
UACGAGGGGGGCAAAUGUUGUUCGGAAUCACUGGGCGUAAAGGGAGCGUAGGCGGGUGUUUAAGUCAGGGGUGAAAUCCUGGAGCUCAACUCCAGAACUGCCUUUGAUACUGAGGAUCUUGAGUUCGGGAGAGGUGAGUGGAACUGCGAGUGUAGAGGUGAAAUUCGUAGAUAUUCGCAAGAACACCAGUGGCGAAGGCGGCUCACUGGCCCGAUACUGACGCUGAGGCACGAAAGCGUGGGGAGCAAACAGG